rnacentral:rRNA from 1 species
CAUGCAGGUGGUUUGUUAAGUCAGAUGUGAAAGCCCGGGGCUCAACCUCGGAAUUGCAUUUGAAACUGGCAGACUAGAGUGCUGUAGAGGGGGGUAGAAUUUCAGGUGUAGCGGUGAAAUGCGUAGAGAUCUGAAGGAAUACCGGUGGCGAAGGCGGCCCCCUGGACAGAUACUGACACCCAGAUGCGAAAGCGUGGGGAGCAAACA